GAUGAACGCUAGCGGCAGGCCUAAUACAUGCCAGUCGAACGGGAUCCAGAUCAAAGCUUGCUUUGGUUUGGUGAGAGUGGCGUACGGGUGCGUAACGCGUGAGCAACCUACCCUUGUCAGGGGGAUAGCCCGGCGAAAGUCGGAUUAAUACCGCAUGACAUCAUUGAGAGGCAUCUUUCGAUGAUCAAAGAUUUAUCGGACAAGGAUGGGCUCGCGUGACAUUAGCUAGUUGGUAAGGUAACGGCUUACCAAGGCUACGAUGUCUAGGGGCUCUGAGAGGAGAAUCCCCCACACUGGUACUGAGACACGGACCAGACUCCUACGGGAGGCAGCAGUAAGGAAUAUUGGUCAAUGGACGGAAGUCUGAACCAGCCAUGCCGCGUGCAGGAAGACGGCCCUAUGGGUUGUAAACUGCUUUUAUACGGGAACAAACGUCGGUACGGGUACCGGUCUGAGUGUACCGUAAGAAUAAGGAUCGGCUAACUCCGUG
rnacentral:rRNA from 1 species